rnacentral:rRNA from 1 species
UUCGCAAUGCCCGAAAGGGUGACGAAGCGACGCCGCGUGUGGGAAGAAGGCCUUCGGGUUGUAAACCACUGUCGGGAGUUAGGAAAUGUAAGGGUGCUAAUAGUAUCCUUACUUGACUAAGGCUCCGGAGGAAGCCACGGCUAACUCUGUGCCAGCAGCCGCGGUAAUACAGAGGCGGCAAGCGUUGUUCGGAAUUAUUGGGCGUAAAGAGCACGUAGGCGGCCUUGUAAGUCAGUUGUGAAAGCCUUCUGCUUAACGGAAGAACAGCAGCUGAUACUGCAAGGCUAGAGUGCGGAAGGGGAGAGUGGAACUUCUGGUGGAGCGGUGAAAUGCGUAGAUAUCAGAAGGAACACCGGCGGCGAAGGCGACUCUCUGGUCCGUAACUGACGCUGAGUGUGCGAAAGCUAGGGGAGCAAACGGGAUUAGAUACCCCGGUAGUCCUAGCCGUAAACGAUGGGCACUAAGUAGAG